UACGUAGGGUGCAAGCGUUGUCCGGAAUUAUUGGGCGUAAAGAGCUCGUAGGCGGUUCGUCGCGUCGGCUGUGAAAACCCGGAGCUCAACUCCGGGCCUGCAGUCGAUACGGGCGGACUGGAGUUCGGCAGGGGAGACUGGAAUUCCUGGUGUAGCGGUGAAAUACGUAGAUAUCUGGAGGAACACCGGUGGCGAAGGCGGCGAUCUGGCCCAACACUGACACUCAGACCCGAAAGCGUGGGGAUCAAACAGG
rnacentral:rRNA from 1 species